GGUGGUAGGCUCAGUGGUAGAGCGCGUGCUUAGCACACACGAGGCCCUGAAUUCAAUCCCCAGUACCUCCA
rnacentral:tRNA from 1 species